GGAAGCAAAAUCUUCAGAGACAGAUGUACUUUUAGCUUUGGGGAUAUGUUUUGGGUAGAUCUUGAGGAAGAUGGGAGAGAGAGCUAUUAGUGAGAUUGUGUGGAGACACAACUACAAAGAAAACAGAUCCCUUACCUUUCCCAGGUCAGCGAAAGGAGAAAGGGCAUCUCAGAUGUGCCACAUGAAGAAACCACAAGAGAGCAUGAUGGGAAAAGCAAGUAAGGGAUGUGGGUAUCAGGAAGUUGAGCAUCCUAGAAGAAGGCUGGGUUGAUGAUGAACAUUGCUACUAGGACUGCUCAUAAGGAAACUUAGCUUUAGGGAGAGAGGUCAGAUGGAUUCUUCCAGGUCUCAAAGCAAGCAUGGGUAAAGGGCUAGGUGUGUGGUGACUCUAACUCCAGGUAAAGAUGGCAUUUUAACUUUAAAGUAGACAGUUCUUGGUUGUUUUGAAUGAAUCAGGAUGUUGUAUGACUCAGGUCAAGGGAGGGAAACCCAAAGGAGGUAAAAAGAAAUAUAAAUAAUGGUGGAAUGGGGAUGGUAUAGGAAAAUGAUGUCAGGGAAGGUAUAAAACCUCGUCCUCUCCAACAAAAAGAAGAAACUAGAGGCAAAACUCGCAGAAACAGUGGAUGCAAGACUAUUAAGCUCUAUAAGUCAGAUAUGAGGGAGAAGGGACAUGGUCAUCAUGGCUCGUUGGCUGAGCUGGCCUCUUCAGAUGACGUGUGGGUGUGUUUGUGGGGAGAUGCUGUAUCCUAUGGAGUAUAAAGGGCCAGGUGGCAAGCUCCUGACAUGCAACUCUUUCCUUCUGGAAUUCUUUGGUCCCAAGCCACAGCGGAUGACCCACCAAGAGACCUGUACCUGUCAGAUUGCAGGCACUAUUGUGGAUGAGCCCAUCUUUCCAGAUUGGCUGCAGCCGGGAGUGCUGCUCAGAGAGGAAUGGACAGCGGCUGCCCAGAACAGAUGCUACAUUGGAAAGCAGCCUCUCUUAUUGCCUAAAGUUGCCAGAGCUCCACUGGGCACCAGAGUUGAGCCACAGCAAACACAAGCUAGGGGCUGUGAACCCCUUAUAGGUAACCAGAUGUGCAGGGAAUGGCAGAUCAAAGGCUGCUCUCCAGAUGUCCCCUGCUGAGGGUGAGCAGCUGGUGCAGAAGUGUCCCCUUUGGCAACUUCUGGGACUCUGUGCCACUGCUGGCUCAGGAGGUGGCUGGCAGGAAAGGCUCCAGAAGAGACAUUAAAGGGAAAUUUGGGCCUCAGUGUGAUGCUAAGCUGACAGCUCUAUGAACUACCUAACAUUUUAUCAAUGCUGUUUGUAAUAUGACGGAAGAUGAUGGUUAUUCUACUAUGAUGCACCUCAGCAUAUGUCCCCCAUGUGUGGCUUCUGGCCAGUGCCAGGACAGGAGUCAGUUUGUUACCAUAGCUUCCCAACCAGGAUGUAAAAUCUCCCAUACCCCAUAUCCUCCACUCCUAUUUGGAACGGGAAUGUGGGCUUUGGCUUUGCUCCAGUUUCUUGAUCCUUCCUUCCAAGUUCUCACCCUCUAACACAACUUGAAACUCAAAAUUAGUGGGCAGCAGAACUGGGCUGCUGAAUCCAAAGACAGUUAAAAGUGUGUUUGAGUGUGUGUGUGUGUGUUUGUAUCUAUGAAGAUGUGUGUACUAGAUUCAUCUAUAUAUAAUUAAUGUAUUAACAAUACAAAUAGUCUCAUGGACAUGUACAUAUGCAACAUGCGUUCCUGCUAUUGUUCUUUUAGUCCCCAUCUAACUUCUCCCUUCUCUAUUCCCCCUGCUUCCAUCUCCCUUAUCCCCUUCUCCCUGUCUGAAUGGUGUCUGGUAUAAGUGGAGGAGGCCAAAAGGAAUGACAGAGGUCUUGAAGCUGCCCAAGGUGACAGUUACUUGGAGCAGAUAGCAUCUGUACAUUAUGAAGUAGAGUGUUGCCAUCCUCAUCAUUACCAUCACCUAGACCCAUGUCUCCCCAGUGCCACUUGGAAGGAUGCAGGAGGCUUGCUAUCUCCAUGGUGAUAAGGAAGCCUUCAGGAAGCUGGUCUGCCUUCUCUUUCUGAACUCUCUCUAACUGAAUUAUCUUAUGUCAUUAUAAUGCUUUCCUAACAAUAAACUUG
rnacentral:lncRNA from 1 species